AUUCCUACGGGAGGCAGCAGUGGGGAAUAUUGGACAAUGGGCGAAAGCCUGAUCCAGCCAUGCCGCGUGUGUGAAGAAGGCCCUCGGGUCGUAAAGCACUUUAAGUUGGGAGGAAGGGCUUACAGCGAAUACCUGUGAGUUUUGACGUUACCGACAGAAUAAGCACCGGCUAACUUCGUGCCAGCAGCCGCGGUAAU
rnacentral:rRNA from 1 species